CUACUUUGAAGUGAUUAUGAAAAAAUAAGAAGGCUUCUGCCAGGAGAUUUGAGAAGGAACAAGUUUAGAGGAGACACUCUUGUUUCCAAGGAGUGAGGCUCCUCUUGAAGCUGUGUGACAGUGCAGAUCCUGGCACAGAAAGAGUGGUGCAGGGGCCCUUGCUUGGCGCCUUUUAUUUUGUUCUGUGCCAGCACCAUGCUGUCUUCUGCUCUGCCCAGCAAGCUCAUGGGCCACCUGGGAUUCCCGUCACUCAGUGCCCAGAAUCCUGGGGCCACAUUGUGACUGCAUCUCCAUUGUGACUUUACAUGAGGACAUUGCCUUAGUGUUUGGGAAGAGACGCUUUCUGCUUCUUAUUCCACCACAGGCUUUCUGUGUGGGCAUGGACAAGCCAUUAGAGGCUCUAGGCCUCUGUCGUGUUUCAUAUGUUAGAGGCUGGGGCUCCUUUGAGCUCCACAUUUUCAUGAAUGUGUGAAUCUUGUGAGUCAGAAGUCUGACUCAGGGACUGAGCACUUGAAGCUAAUCUCUGUAUGCUUUGCCUCAGGAAGAAAGACCAAGGACCUAAGCAAGAAAUGAGAAUGGGCAGGAGGCCCAAUGUGCUCUGUGAAGGGGGUUGGAUUCAAACAGAUCUGACUGCAAGCCAGCUACACAAUAUAAUAGCUCUGAACUCAGGGUCCUUGCUCUCCCCAAGCCUCCAUUUCCUCUUUGACAAAGUUGGACCAUGAUACUUACCUCAGAAUCAGCUCUGAAGAUUAAAGGAGAAGAUGUUGGGCAACGUGUCAAACACUGUGCCGGGCACACAAAGUGCAGAAGAAAGGUUAAUUUCCAUCCUACCCCUGUUCCUCCCCAUCUCCUUGAGGUGUCAGAAUUGAAGUCAUAAAAGGAGAAAGCAAAAUCAGUAACCAGUAGCAGAAGACGGGGAGUUAAGGAGAAAAAUGAGAAGCCAUCUGACUUCAUUAUGAUAGAGAAUUUUGCUCUUUUGAAGGCAGCUUUGGGAAGAUGAGAUCCAUAUGUUCUUCUUCAUCUAUGGUAGAAUUUCUUGAAGAUAUCAGAACCACAACGAGAGAGUAGUACCGGUAUUAGCCACUGCUCACUGAGCCAAGUUGUGGACUUACUGAUACACUUAGACCAGCUCUACACCCAACAAUAGCUUGGCACUGCCUUCAUAAAGAAACAUGCCAAAACUGAGAUACCCAAGAAGGAAUAAAGCUGGGAUUGGAGCUGUUUGAUUCUAACACUACCUGGGUGGUAUUCACUAGUCCUACUGUACCUCUGUUAAAUACAUACUGCACAACCACAAUAAUCUUUUGAGUGAAUUGCAAGCUAACCCUUUGGCUUUAUGUGGGGGCUUUACCUAAAAUGGAUUCUGGUGGAAAUGGCAGUUCCCUUUUGCAUGCCCCAAAUCUGGCACACAGUAGCUGCCUUCUUACUGAGUACCAAACAUAUAAAUAGACAAUGAGAUAAAUCAAACUUAAAUAGGCCACCAGGGUAAAACCACACCUCACCCAAAGACAGAGCCAAAGUACGUGCCCUUCCUCACUGCCUGCAAAUGCCAUCUGGUCAGAGGAGCUCAGCACCUCUGUCCAGGGCUUGAGAGCAGGAAAUGAAGGUCAACUUCCUGUCAUGGAGGCAGAGAAUAUUCCAUAAACCACACUUAAUUUCCAAGGUGAGUUUUGACCUGAACAUGAGAGUGAUCUCUCACAGGUGCAUGAAGUUUUCAAGAAUGGAUGCAGAGCUGACCCUCACUCACUUUUCUACUCACAGCCAAUGGAUCCAUGUUGGCCAACCUGAUGUUAGGCAGCUUUUUCGGUGGACCUGCCGUCUAG
rnacentral:lncRNA from 1 species